rnacentral:rRNA from 1 species
GUGGAUUAGAUACCCUAGUAGUCCACGCCCUAAACGAUGUCAACUGGGUGUUGGGGAAGCGAUUCCUUGGUACCGUAGCUAACGCGUGAAGUUGACCGCCUGGGGAGUACGGCCGCAAGGUUAAAACUCAAAGGAAUUGACGGGGACCCGCACAAGCGGUGGAUGAUGUGGAUUAAUUCGAUGCAACGCGAACAACCUUACCUACCCUUGACAUGUGCCGGAGCCUGCUGAGAGGCGGGUGUGCCCGAAAGGGAACGGCAACACAGGUGCUGCACGGCCGUCGACAGCU